UACGUAGGGGGCAAGCGUUGUCCGGAAUCAUUGGGCGUAAAGCGCGCGUAGGCGGCCCGGUAAGUCCGCUGUAAAAGUCCAGGGCUCAACCCUGGAAAGCCGGUGGAUACUGUCGGGCUAGAGUCCGGAAGAGGCGAGUGGAAUUCCUGGUGUAGCGAUGGAAUGCGCAGAUAUCAGGAGGAACACCGAUGGCGAAGGCAGCUCGCUGGGACGGUACUGACGCUGAGGCGCGAAAGCGUGGGGAGCGAACAGG
rnacentral:rRNA from 1 species